AACAAGGUUUCCGUAGGUGAACCUGCUAAAGGAUCAUUGU
rnacentral:rRNA from 2 species